rnacentral:rRNA from 1 species
GACGAACGCUGGCGGCGUGCUUAACACAUGCAAGUCGAACGGAAAGGCCCUGCUUUUGUGGGGUGCUCGAUUGGCGAACGGGUGAGUAACACGUGAGUAACCUGCCCUUGACUUUGGGAUAACUUCAGGAAACUUGGGCUAAUACCGUAUAGGAUCUCCUGCUGCAUUGUGGGGGUUGGAAAGUUUCGGCGGUUGGGGAUGGACUCGCGGCUUAUCAGCUUGUUGGUUGGGUAGUGUCUUACCAAGGCUUUGACGGGUAGCCGGCCUGAGAGGGUGACCGGCCACAUUGGGACUGAGAUACGGCAGACUCCUACGGGAGGCAGCAGUGGGGAAUAUUGCACAAUGGGCGGAAGCCUGAUGAAGCAACGCCGCGUGCGGGAUGACGGCCUUCGGGUUGUAAACCGCUUUAGCCUGUGACGAAGCGGGAGUGACGGUAAUGGGUAAAGAAGCACCGGCUAACUACGUG